UACAGAGGGGGCAAGCGUUGUCCGGAUUUACUGGGCGUAAAGAGCGCGCAGGCGGUCGUUCAAGUCGAGUGUGAAAGCCCCCGGCUCAACUGGGGAGGGUCAUUCGAUACUGAUCGACUGGAAGGCAGGAGAGGGAAGCGGAAUUCCCGGUGUAGUGGUGAAAUGCGUAGAUAUCGGGAGGAACACCAGUGGCGAAGGCGGCUUCCUGGCCUGUUCUUGACGCUGAGGCGCGAAAGCUAGGGGAGCAAACGGG
rnacentral:rRNA from 1 species